UAUAAUUUUAUCAACUACUAAUUAAUGGGAAUUAUACUCUUUAGAAAGAAUUCUUGUUUUUUAUUUUGCUUUCUUCUUUUUUGUUCCCUAUUGUUAGGAAAAAGAAAGCAAAGCCAAAGAAUUAAGACAGCCGUAAAUAAGGUAAGCCUGUUUCAGCAGUGAGCAUCAGAGUUAGAAUCUCACCAUUUCCUUUGAUGACAUGAAUUUGUAAUAGAACUCUACAACACAUGCAUAUUGACAUGAUCAUGCAUCUUACUUUCUAACUAUAUUCUAAAAUCAUUUGUCAUCAGGGUUAAGACAAAAAGGAAGGAAAAAUAUACAUAUCAGUUUAGCCAUGGAGCUUAGAUAAUAAGUAGAGGCAACCAGAGCAAAGGAAGACAGCAGCCGAGAAGCAAAGUAAAUCCAUGGGAGAC
rnacentral:lncRNA from 1 species